rnacentral:rRNA from 1 species
UACGUAAGGUCCGAACGUUGUCCGGUAUUAUUGGGCGUAAAGGGCUCGUAAGCGGUUUGUCGCGUCGGGAGUGAAAACUCGGAGCUCAACCCUGAGCGUGCUUCCGAUACGGGCAGACUAGAGGUAUGCAGGGGAGAACGAAAUUCCUGAUGUAGCAAUGAAAUGCGCAGAUAUCAGGAGGAACACCGGUGGCGAAGGCGGUUCUCUGGGCAUUACCUGACGCUGAGGAGCAAAAGCAUGAAGAGCAAACAGG